UUCCUCAUCCACUUCAUUUUGAGUCAGUUCCUCAUCCAUUAUACUAGGAGUUGGUUUCUCAUCCAUUGCAGUAUGAGAUGGUUCGUCAUUCAUUGCAUUAGCAGUUGGUUGCUCAACAGGUUCCUCAUCCUCUACAGUAUGAGUCGGUUCCUCAUCUGCCACAUUCUCAGUUGGUUGCUCAACAGGUUCCUCAUCCUCUAGAGUAUGAGCUGGUUCCUCAUCCUCUAGAGUAUGAGCUGGUUCCUCAACCGCUGCAUUCUCAGUCGGUUUCUCAUCUACAGCAUUAUGAGUUGGCUCCUCAACAGUUUC
rnacentral:lncRNA from 1 species